GCCAUCGUAGCUUAAAUCAAAGCAUAACACUGAAGAUGUUAUGAUAGACCUUAAACCGUCUCGAAGGCA
rnacentral:tRNA from 1 species